rnacentral:misc_RNA from 1 species
GUUUAACCAACAACUUGUUGGCUUUGUAUCAUAGAUCAUAUGGUUUGACAAUGCUACUAACUCACCAUGGAAUUUUUUGUUAGCCUGUCUACUGUUCUUUAGCUUAGUUUGAUUUGAAUGGUGAAGUUUGUGGGAAAAUAACAUCUUGAAGCCAAUUACUAGCCAUCUGUAGGAAUACUGUAAAACUAACGAAUAAGCUUGAAAGGAUCAAAACCCAUGCCAAAUGCAGGAUUUGCUAUUUCGUGUAUUCAAGAGGAUUUGAUUUGAUCCUAGAGUUAACCCAGUAUUACUUCUUGCUAUUAGAAACUGGAGUUAAUUGUAGCUGUGCAGUUUUUUCUUCCAUUAGCAGAGGACUGUAUUGAAGUUGUUACUUGUUUUUAUCUUUACUUUGAUCUCAUAUGUUGAGGCUGUCAAUCUAGUUUCUAAAAGAUAGAUUUAGGCUAUCGCGGCCAUCAGCCUAAUUGAUGGGAAAAACAGGAGAAGUUUUUGGACUCUAGAGAUGAUCAUGCUUUAGUCUUUGCUGCCAAUCUAUAGGGUGUGUUGAUGUGGUAGCCAAAUUUCUAGAUACAAAACUGACCUCUUAUCAUUCAGGCAUCUUCAUUGACAGGAAGGAACCUAAAAUAAGGAUUGAUAAGAAGGGAAAACCACAGUUGCCCUUGAAAAAAUG